UGCGUAGGCGGUUUAAUAAGUCAGAGGUGAAAGCCCGCAGCUCAACUGUGGAAUUGCCUUUGAUACUGUUAGACUUGAAUCAGGUUGAGGUUGGCGGAAUGUGGCAUGUAGCGGUGAAAUGCAUAUAUAUGCCAUAGAACACCAAUUGCGAAGGCAGCUGACUAGACCUGUAUUGACGCUGAGGCACGAAAGCGUGGGGAGCGAACAGGAUUAGAUACCCUGGUAGUCC
rnacentral:rRNA from 1 species